GAUGAACGCUAGCGGCAGGCUUAACACAUGCAAGUCGAGGGGUAUUGGUUUUCGGACCAAGAGACCGGCGCACGGGUGCGUAACGCGUAUGCAAUCUACCUUUUGCAGAGGGAUAGCCCCAGAGAAAUUUGGAUUAAUACCUCAUAGUAUAGUACUUUGGCAUCAAGGAACUAUUAAAGUCACAACGGCAAAAGAUGAGCAUGCGUCCCAUUAGCUAGUUGGUAAGGUAACGGCUUACCAAGGCUACGAUGGGUAGGGGUCCUGAGAGGGAGAUCCCCCACACUGGUACUGAGACACGGACCAGACUCCUACGGGAGGCAGCAGUGAGGAAUAUUGGACAAUGGCGCAAGCCUGAUCAGCCAUGCCGCUGCAGGAAGACGGUCCUAUGGAUUGUAAACCUGCUUUUAUACAGGAAGAAACAACUCGGACGUGUCCGAACUUGACGGUACUGU
rnacentral:rRNA from 1 species